UUCAGAUUCUUCUCUUCGCAUCCCCACAAUCGGAACAAAGGUCGUUCCUUGCCGCCCAUUGGUCAGAAUUCAGCCGAGGCAGAGGGCGCGUAACUGCUUGGAUGCGAAACCAAACUAGUUAGGUUGACGUUUCAGUUUAAGAAAACGGCAAAAACAAGGUGAAAAGUUAAACGUGUCAACGCAGUCCAGCAAGUCUACAGUUGUCAACAAACUCCACUAAGGCUACAGACACAAUGGCUUCCUACAGGCGGCGCUUUGGGUGGCAUAGCCAUCCUGAGGUCAAUAUCUUUACCGACCGCUCUGAGUCGAGCGCAGAGUCUCUUUCGCAGGCGAUCCGGGCAGCGGCGUCCGAGGAGCCAGAUGCCGAUGGCAGCGUGCUGUUUGGUCAGCUGCAGGGCAGCGUGGUGGGGAUUCGGCAUUACACUGGAGUGGUUAACCCAGGGGAAAUGGUUGCCCUGGUGCGCCAGCCAAAUAACCCCUACGACCGCAAUGCAGUGAUGGUUACAAACGCCGAUGGAAACCAGGUGGGCCACAAAGAAGGAGCUUGCAGCAGCCAUGGCCGGUGUUAUGGACAGCAACCUCGUUAAAGUUGAAGGGGUGGUCCCGUAUCGGACCAACAACGCCUUCAACAUGCCUGUGACUCUGUCCUUUUGGGGAACCAAGGAAAACGAUCCCAUCUUCAAGCAACGCAUGGCCGUGCACGGCUUCAAGUUUAACUCCGAUGUCGCAAUGACUACAAGUUAUGGCUCGCAAGGUGGACGUGCACGGCUGCCUAAAAAACCUGUGACCACCCCACUGUCAGCCGAGGAGCUGAAGAAUGCGUUUGACGAUCUCUUUGACGUCCUGGUGGAGAGUAAAGAUGGAGAGAAGGAAGCUUCCGAGUCGGUGAGCACGUCACUCAUGCCCCACCAGAAGCAGGCCCUGUCCUGGAUGUGUGCCUGCGAGAACAGCUCCAAGCCCCCCCUUCUGGGAGGAGAGGGGGGGGCUCUAUUACAACAGCCUCACCUUCUUCUCUGCCAAGGAGCGGCCACAGAGGGUCCGGGGGGGCAUACUGGCAGACGACAUGGGCUUGGGUAAAACUCUGACCACCAUCGCCCUGAUCCUCACCAACUUCCACCAAGGAAUGCCUCUUCCAGUGAAGAGAUGUGAAGGGCUGACUGAAACAGCCCCCUCCAGAUCUGAAGGACGUGUGGACAGCACAAUAGUAGGCGGCGCACCCAGUGGUUCCAGACGGCCUCACAGUCCCCAGGUGGUGGGACGCCAGCUGAAACCCAGGAAGUACCGAUUGUGAGCAAAGACGAGAAGAAGAAAAAGCCCAGUGUGAUGCUUGAAGACCUAGACUUUGCGACAGUGCUGGGAGGACCAACAACUGGCACAAAACCAAAGAACAAGAGAGCCGCUAACAGAGCCGUUCCCAAAGAAGACCCAGACUUUAUGUGUGAAUCAACAUCUGGCGCGAAAACCAAGAAUAGAGUGCAGCGUGCAGCGAAGAAGGCCGUUGUUCCCAAAGAAGUUGCGGAGCCCUGCAUCAAAGAAAGCGCAGCGGAGCUCUCAGCCAGAGCUACACUCAUCAUCUGCCCACUUUCUGUGCUGAGCAACUGGCUGGUAAGGCUCUGUGUCCCACACACACACACCCAAACACUCUUACUGGGUUUUUUGUCAAUAUUAUUAAUUGGCUCCGUAUCCGGUGGGUGGUCAACCACCAACUGAAAAUUGGGUAUUGGGUUCGAGGCCCCCAAAUGUCCAUAGCAUAAACCGAAGUCGUCCUUGACCCAGAUGCCCAACCCCUACCCGCUUCUUUUGUUAACC